rnacentral:rRNA from 1 species
GUGCCAGCCGCCGCGGUAAUACGGAGGGUGCAAGCGUUAUCCGGAUUUAUUGGGUUUAAAGGGUCCGUAGGCGGAUGCGUAAGUCAGUGGUGAAAUCUCACAGCUCAACUGUGAAACUGCCAUUGAUACUGCGUGUCUUGAGUGAGGUUGAAGUAGCUGGAAUAAGUGGUGUAGCGGUGAAAUGCAUAGAUAUUACUCAGAACACCAAUUGCGAAGGCAGGUUACUAAGUCUCAACUGACGCUGAUGGACGAAAGCGUGGGGAGCGAACAGGAUUAGAUACCCUGGUAGUCCACGCUGUAAACGAUGCUAACUCGCUUUUGGGGAUUUAUCUUCAGAGACUAAGCGAAAGUGAUAAGUUAGCCACCUGGGGAGUACGAACGCAAGUUUGAAGCUCAAAGGAAUUGACGGGGGCCCGCACAAGCGGUGGAUUAUGUGGUUUAAUUCGAUGAUACGCGAGGAACCUUACCAAGGCUUAAAUGGGAAUUGAUCGGUUUAGAAAUAGACCUUCCUUCGGGCAAUUUU